rnacentral:misc_RNA from 1 species
GAUGAAUGUUUCAUUGAUAAUUACUUAUAACCCAUAGUGAUUAACAAAAUUCAAUAUAAAAUAAAGUAGGCAUGAAUUUAUUUAUACUUUACACUUUGGAAAAAAUUUUUAAAAAAUCAUUUAAUUAAAUUAGAGAUAUUUGAUUAAUUUUGUGAUAAAGUAGCUUUUAAAUCCUUGCCUAUUGCGUUCUUUUGUCAAUCUCAUUCAUCCUUGCCAUCAUUUAUUCCUUUGACCCAAUUUCAUAUGGGGUUUCGAACUCAUUUUUGAAGUUUUUGUACGUGUUCUUUCAAUGGACUUCGAUCUCUACUACCAGCAUCCGACUGGAUACAAGAAACUUCCUAAACUAGGCAAUUGGCAGAUUGUUCCUUAUACUUUCUUUUCCUUCUGAAUGAAUAUUGUUCCUUGUGUUUAUGUUGAUGGCAAUUGAAGAGAGUGAUUGUUGCUUUUGAUCUGACGCGUAAGCAGUGAACUCUCAUCUAUACCAAUUCAACUGGUUCUUUGGGUGAGGUGAUGAGAAGUUGAAGAAGAGAGAGAAGGAGAUGAGUGCGGCGCAGGGGAGAGGAUGGGGUAUGGGUGGUACUGUCCUU